rnacentral:rRNA from 1 species
GUCGGCGUGCCUAACACAUGCAAGUCGAGCGAUCUUCUUCGGAAGAGAGCGGCGGACGGGUGAGUAACGCGUGGGUAACCUGCCCUGUACACACGGAUAACAUACCGAAAGGUAUGCUAAUACGGGAUAACAUAAGAAAUUCGCAUGUUUUUCUUAUCAAAGCUCCGGCGGUACAGGAUGGACCCGCGUCUGAUUAGCUAGUUGGUGAGGUAACGGCUCACCAAGGCGACGAUCAGUAGCCGACCUGAGAGGGUGAUCGGCCACAUUGGAACUGAGACACGGUCCAAACUCCUACGGGAGGCAGCAGUGGGGACUAUUGCACAAUGGGCGAAAGCCUGAUGCAGCGACGCCGCGUGAGCGAUGAAGGCCUUCGGGUCGUAAAGCUCUGUCCUCAAGGAAGAUAAUGACGGUACUUGAGGAGGAAGCCCCGGCUAACUACGUGCCAGCAGCCGCGGUAAUACGUAGGGGGCUAGCGUUAUCCGGAUUUACUGGGCGUAAAGGGAGCGUAGGCGGAUUUUUAAGUGGGAUGUGAAAUACCCGGGCUCAACCUGGGUGCUGCAUUCCAAACUGGAAAUCUAGAGUGCAGGAGGGGAAAGUGGAAUUCCUAGUGUAGCGGUGAAAUGCGUAGAGAUUAGGAGGAACACCAGUGGCGAAGGCGGCUUACUGGACGGUAACUGACGUUGAGGCUCGAAAGCGUGGGGAGCAAACAGGAUUAGAUACCCUGGUAGUCCACGCCGUAAACGAUGACUACUAGGUGUCGGGCAGCAAAGCUGUUCGGUGCCGCAGCAAACGCAAUAAGCAUUCCACCUGGGGAGUACGUUCGCAAGAAUGAAACUCAAAGGAAUUGACGGGGACCCGCACAAGCGGUGGAGCAUGUGGUUUAAUUCGAAGCAACGCGAAGAACCUUACCAAGUCUUGACAUCCCCCUGACCGGACAGUAAUGUGUCCUUUCCUUCGGGACAGGGGAGACAGGUGGUGCAUGGUUGUCGUCAGCUCGUGUCGCGAGAUGUUGGGUUAAGUCCCGCAACGAGCGCAACCCUUAUCCUUAGUAGCCAGCAGUAAGAUGGGCACUCUAGGGAGACUGCCAGGGAUAACCUGGAGGAAGGUGGGGAUGACGUCAAAUCAUCAUGCCCCUUAUGAUUUGGGCUACACACGUGCUACAAUGGCGUAAACAAAGAGAAGCGAGCCUGCGAGGGGGAGCGAAUCUCAAAAAUAACGUCCCAGUUCGGACUGUAGUCUGCAACCCGACUACACGAAGCUGGAAUCGCUAGUAAUCGCGGAUCAGAAUGCCGCGGUGAAUACGUUCCCGGGUCUUGUACACACCGCCCGUCACACCAUGGGAGUCAGCAACGCCCGAAGUCAGUGACUCAACCGCAAGGAGAGAGCUGCCGAAGGCGGGGCAGGUAACUGGG